rnacentral:rRNA from 1 species
CCUACGGGUGUCUGCAGUGGGGAAUAUUGGACAAUGGGCGAAAGCCUGAUCCAGCCAUGCCGCGUGUGUGAAGAAGGCCUUCGGGUUGUAAAGCACUUUCAGUGGGGAAGAAAGCCUUGGGGCUAAUACCCUCGAGGAAGGACAUCACCCACAGAAGAAGCACCGGCUAACUCCGUGCCAGCAGCCGCGGUAAUACGGAGGGUGCGAGCGUUAAUCGGAAUUACUGGGCGUAAAGCGCGCGUAGGCGGUCUGAUAAGCCGGUUGUGAAAGCCCCGGGCUCAACCUGGGAACGGCAUCCGGAACUGUCAGGCUAGAGUGCAGGAGAGGAAGGUAGAAUUCCCGGUGUAGCGGUGAAAUGCGUAGAGAUCGGGAGGAAUACCAGUGGCGAAGGCGGCCUUCUGGACUGACACUGACGCUGAGGUGCGAAAGCGUGGGUAGCAAACAGGAUUAGAUACCCUAGUAGUC